UACGGGAGGCAGCAGUGGGGAAUUUUGCGCAAUGGGGGAAACCCUGACGCAGCAACGCCGCGUGGAGGAUGAAGGUCCUUGGAUUGUAAACUCCUGUCAGCAGGGAAGAAGGCCUGGGGGUGAAUAUCCCCCAGGAUUGACGGUACCUGCAGAGGAAGCCCCGGCUAACUCUGUGCCAGCAGCCGCGGUAAUA
rnacentral:rRNA from 1 species